CGAGGGGUGCCUGAUCUUCCUGCGGGAGACGGGCUGAGACAGCCUUAGCGGCUGAACCCUUUGAACCUGAUCCGGGUCAUGCCGGCGAAGGAACGGGA
rnacentral:ncRNA from 1 species